UCUGACUUUAUUUCUACAACGUUUGAAACAGCUCAGUGUGGAAGCCUGGAUAUAACUCAUACAGCUGUCAAUCAAACAAACCCCACCCCUCCCCGACAAGAGUCGAUCCUUUACAUACAAACAGUCCUCGCCCGUCUCACAGUCAAAACCCACCAAUCAGAAAUCACACAUCUUUAUCGUACAGUCAUUCAAUCAAACAUGAAUCCGUCAAGUAAAGCCCCCCCCACCCACCUCCACAGCAAAGAUGAGCCAAUGAAAUGUCAGAACCGUGUGUAAACCCCUCCCCCAACAGAGGAGGUUGAAAUAGUUAAUGAUAGACGUCAUCUCUCAGACUGGCAAACUGAUAAAAGCGUGUGAUACAAAAAAAACUAAAAAGAGGUAAACCAAAAUGAUAAGUGAAAUGUUAAGUAAAUGAGUGAUAUGAGUAGAGGUCUGUGUUGACAUGUUAAGUAAAGGAGUGAUAUGAGUAGAGAGGUCUGUGUUGAAAUGUUAAGUAAAGGAGUGAUAUGAGUAGAGAGGUCUGUGUUGAAAUGUUAAGUAAAGGAGUGAUAUGAGUAGAGGUCUGUGUUGACAUGUUAAGUAAAGGAGUGAUAUGAGUAGAGAGGUCUGUGUUGAAAUGUUAAGUAAAGGAGUGAUAUGAGCAGAGAGGUCUGUGUUGAAAUGUUAAGUAAAGGAGUGAUAUGAGUAGAGAGGUCUGUGUUGAAAUGUUAAGUAAAGGAGUGAUAUGAGUAGAGAGGUCUGUGUUGAAAUGUUAAGUAAAGGAGUGAUAUGAGUAGAGAGGUCUGUGUUGAAAUGUUAAGUAAAGGAGUGAUAUGAGCAGAGAGGUCUGUGUUGAAAUGUUAAGUAAAGGAGUGAUAUGAGCAGAAAGGUGUUGACAUGUUAAGUAAAGGAGUGAUAUGAGCAGAAAGGUGUUGACAUGUUAAGUAAAGGAGUGAUAUGAGUAGAGGUCUGUGUUGACAUGUUAAGUAAAGGAGUGAUAUGAGUAGAGGUCUGUGUUGACAUGUUAAGUAAAGGAGUGAUAUGAGCAGAAAGGUGUUGACAUGUUAAGUAAAGGAGUGAUAUGAGCAGAAAGGUGUUGACAUGUUAAGUAAAGGAGUGAUAUGAGUAGAGGUCUGUGUUGACAUGUUAAGUAAAGGAGUGAUAUGAGCAGAAAGGUCUGUGUUGAAAUGUUAAGUAAAGGAGUGAUAUGAGCAGAAAGGUCUGUGUUGACAUGUUAAGUAAAGGAGUGAUAUGAGCAGAAAGGUGUUGACAUGUUAAGUAAAGGAGUGAUAUGAGCAGAAAGGUGUUGACAUGUUAAGUAAAGGAGUGAUAUGAGUAGAGAGGUCUGUGUUGACAUGUUAAGUAAAGGAGUGAUAUGAGUAGAGAGGUCUGUGUUGAAAUGUUAAGUAAAGGAGUGAUAUGAGCAGAAAGGUCUGUGUUGACAUGUUAAGUAAAGGAGUGAUAUGAGCAGAAAGGUGUUGACAUGUUAAGUAAAGGAGUGAUAUGAGCAGAAAGGUGUUGACAUGUUAAGUAAAGGAGUGAUAUGAGCAGAAAGGUGUUGACAUGUUAAGUAAAGGAGUGAUAUGAGCAGAAAGGUGUUGACAUGUUAAGUAAAGGAGUGAUAUGAG